CCUUCACUUCCGCUGUGUUACUGAACCAGUACCCAAAGCCACUAAGCAUUUUUCCUAGUUGCUGUAGAAACUAGAAACCCAUCUUCUGUAUGGAGAGCUUCGCCAAGGAUGUCGAGAUAUAGGUGCAAUGUAUCAAUGUCCGAUUAGGCCUCCUCCAUCGACAAAGAGCUCCACCAUUCUUCCAUCUAGGCGGAAGAAGAAGAUAUCUAGCAACGACCGACAGUAUUUUCAAUUGUUAUCAGGUACUCUCUGAAUUGCAUCCUUUUUAAGGGUUGUUCAACAGUGCCUUCAUCUCAGUGGCACUUAACAAUUCUUGAUACAAUUAAACCAUCAGAACAUAAUCUAGGUCUCUUCUGCCGCCCUUCUAUGGAUGAUAGAAAAUGGACCUCUCUUCUAAGGAUGGUUGUAAUAUUUGCUGGUGGUUCAGUGCACAAUUUAUUACCAAGGUUGUUAGAAACUGCCAAGGCUGCUACUCAAUGAUCAAGUUAAUUCCCUUCAAGUGGAGCUCAGCCAAUGCUUCUGCUACCUGGAUGGACAAGGUUUGAAUAUUGUUAGCAUUCCCAGCAAAAAACUUUUCGAAAUUAUCUCUAACAACUGUCGCAGUGGCUCCUAUCCCCUGUCCUUAAAGAAUGUUGCAUCAACAUUGAUCUUAAUCCAUCCCCUAGGAUUUAGUUGCCAGGUAACCCUUGGAAUUCUAGCUCUAUUCUCCUUUGAGUUGUUGUUGGCUAGUUGUUCUAUUGCAUUAAAGAAUUCUUUUUCUAGAGUCUUAGCCUUUAUGAUUGUAGUUGUGGGAUUAACCUCAUAGUUCUUAUAGAUUUCUUGGUUCCUUGUUUUUCAAAACUCCUAUAUUAAGAUAUAAAUACUGCUAAUUCUCCUUCCUGUAUCCCUUCCCUCUUCCCUCUUUAAUUCUCUGAAUUUUUUUAAGAAGCCCAUUUUCAAAAUUAGAGACUGAUUCGUGUAUAGGACAGCAUUGGCAUUGCAUUCCAAACCAAGUUGUCCUUGUCUGUUGACAUAGCAUGAGAACAUGUUCUAUUGUCUCUAUAUCCCUUUCACAUAUUUGGCAAAUAAGAUAUUUCGCAAUCUUUUUCUUGAAAAUAUUUUUAUUUACCACAAGGAUGUUAUUUACUGCCCUCCAAAUAAAAUUCUUUAUCUUCUGAGAGUUUGAAGCCUCCAAACCUUCUUCCAUAGGUCCUUAAAGUUCGCGCUAGACGAGGGGUUAUCGGAAUCUUUUGCCAAACUUUCUUUUUUUGCCACUUGAUAUCCUGUCAUCGCAUUAUAUACUCUAUCCUUGAAUAGAUUCAAAACAAACUAUCCCCCUUGUUAAGAAUUCUGGUUGGAGUUCUAAUAAUAUUUUCUAUUAACUCUUCUGAAAAAGUCAGUCGUAUCUUUUUAAUGUCCCACCUUUCAUUUUCUCUCAUUAACUCACUAACUCUGGUCAGUGAUGUCUGUUUUGUUUCUUAAUUAAUCUUGAUAUUCUUCCCAUUUUCUAUACUCCACCUUCCAUUUCUUCGAAUAAAAUCUCUUCCUUGUAAAAUACUAUUCUAAAUAAGUUUUCUUUUUCUCUUUAGCUUCCCAAAAAUCACAAUCUAAAAAAUAUAAUGCCUUUAAGAUCUGAACCCAUAAUGCAUUAGAAUUUUCCUUUAUCCUCCAAGUUUGCUUAGCUAAGAAAGUUAAAAUUUGAUUCUGAAAAUCCUUAAAUCCUAAUCCUCCAUCUUUUUUAUUGACGCACAAUUUAUUCCAACUCUUCCAAUAAAUCCCCCUUUCUUUUCUUGAGCAUGCCCAGCAGAAUCUCACAAUUCGUGAAUUUAACUACUGACAAAAGAUUUUUGAAAAUUUUACGACAUUCAUGGCUUAACUCGGGAUCACCUGGAUAACUUCUUUGAUAAGGAUCUCUUUACCUGCUUGGUUCAAAAAUUUUCCUUCCACCCUUCUACUUUCUCCAUAACCUUUUCCUUUAUCCAUUCUAAUGCCUUAACCUUAGAUCUUCCCCAUUGAUAAGCUAGCCCUAGAUACUUACCUGGAUUAUCCUAGAUUUUGAUGCCAAAGAUAUCUUUAAUAUUAACUCUUGUCUAUAAAGGCAUCCAAUUUUCAAAUGUUAUACCCGAUCUCUCAAGGUUUAUCAUCUGUCUGGAUGCUUUAGUGUAGUUAAUUAAAAUCAAAUUUUGAUUGUAGACUUCGUUCUUCUUAGCCUCCAAAAAAUAAUACAAUUAUCCACAAACAUAAACUAAGUUAUAGGAGGUGCAUUUAGAGCAAUCUUUAGACUUGAAAUCUCUUCCUUCAUUCUAGCCUCCUCCAUUAAUACAGUGAAAACUUCAGCCACAAUGAUAUUGUUAGACAGACUUCCAUUAAUUUUCACCUUAUAGUUAGCACUCCUAACACAGCUCAUAUGCAACUGCACCCAAUAUUGAUUAAAGCUAAUAUCUUUAUGAAUUAUUCUCUACAUACAAGCGUUUUUCCCAUACAAGUCUUUACAAGUCAUUUAUAUUCACGCGCUUCGUGCUGUUACUGCACGUUCUUCUUCUUCUUUUUCGUUAUCAUCAUCAUCAAUACCACCUCUUCCUCCUCCUCCUCCUCCUCCUUUUCCUCCUUCUUUUUUCAUUGGAAUUUCUUCUCCUCCUUUUAUUGUUUUGAAUCCAAUCAAGUGGAGGUGUGGUUCAAUUCAGAAGAAAAAAUGUAGCAUUAGAGGAAAUAUUUUUCUGUAUUUACAGCAAAUUUGGGUGUAACACUGAGAUAUUUGAGUAUAACACGAAGAUAUUUGGAUGUAUUUUUAUUCUGAUAAGUUCUGCAUAAUUCAAAAUUCUUUUUCUUCCUCCUUCUCAUCUUUUACUGCUUCUUUUUUUUAUCAUCAUCACCAUAUUCUUUUUCUUUUUUUCUUAUUCAUCUUUUUCUUUUUGUUUUACUUUCUCAAGUUUUUUCUUGUUUUACUCUCUUAACAAAAAUAUAAACAAAAAAAUCAAACAAAGAAGAAGAAACACAUAAUGCUGCAAAAUUACUUGGAAGAGGAUGAACUUACAUUCAUUUAACUAAAAGAAAGAAAGAAAUAACGAAAAAAAGAAGAAGAAAAAAAUGCAGCAUUAGAGAAAAUAUUUUUCUGUAUUUGCAGCAAA